rnacentral:rRNA from 1 species
AUUGAACGCUGGCGGCAUGCCUUACACAUGCAAGUCGAACGGUAACGGGCCUUCGGGUGCCGACGAGUGGCGAACGGGUGAGUAAUGCAUCGGAACGUACCUUUCAGUGGGGGAUAACGUAGCGAAAGUUACGCUAAUACCGCAUAUUCUGUGAGCAGGAAAGCAGGGGAUCGCAAGACCUUGCGCUGAUUGAGCGGCCGAUGUCAGAUUAGCUAGUUGGUGAGGUAAAGGCUCACCAAGGCGACGAUCUGUAGCGGGUCUGAGAGGAUGAUCCGCCACACUGGAACUGAGCCACGGUCCAGACUCCUACGGAAGGCAGCAGUGGGGAAUUUUGGACAAUGGGGGCAACCCUGAUCCAGCCAUGCCGCGUGAGUGAAGAAGGCCUUCGGGUUGUAAAGCUCUUUCGGUCGGGAAGAAAUCGCAUGGGUUAAUACCCUGUGCGGAUGACGGUACCGGCAUAAGAAGCACCGGCUAACUACGUGCCAGCCGCCGCAGUAACAC